GACGAACGCUGGCGGCGUGCUUAACACAUGCAAGUCGAACGGAAAGGCUCCAGCUUGCUGGAGUACUCGAGUGGCGAACGGGUGAGUAACACGUGGGUAAUCUGCCCUGCACUCUGGGAUAAGCCUGGGAAACUGGGUCUAAUACUGGAUAUGACCUUUCUCCUUAUGGGGUUUGGUGGAAAGUUUUUCGGUGUAGGAUGAGCCCGCGGCCUAUCAGCUUGUUGGUGGGGUGAUGGCUUACCAAGGCGACGACGGGUAGCCGGCCUGAAAGGGUGAUCGGCCACAUUGGGACUGAGAUACGGCCCAGACUCCUACGGGAGGCAGCAGUGGGGAAUAUUGCACAAUGGGCGGAAGCCUGAUGCAGCGACGCCGCGUGAGGGAUGACGGCCUUCGGGUUGUAAACCUCUUUCAGCAGGGACGAAGCGUAAGUGACGGUACCUGCAGAAGAAGCACCGGCUAACUAUGUG
rnacentral:rRNA from 1 species